ensembl:lncRNA
CAUCAGUGUUGCUCUCCAGUCUCACCUGCUGAUAGCUACUGUGUAGCAGUAGCUCCAGAAGAGCUGGGAUUCAUCUCACCUGCAUUUGAUACCUAAUUCUACAUGUCUGUUUCUGAUCUGGUUACUCUGAGUUGUUUCUAAGUGUAGAAGCAACAGGAAAAAAACAGGAACUAUCAGGAAGCAUUUCAUUCAGUGCAGUGUUUCUUAUUUUCAUUCAUGAAGAAAAUAAGGAUACAUAAAAGCUGGUCUACCAACUGAGAAUAGCAGUUCAUUCAUACUUUCCCUUCUCUCCUGAGGCAAAUGGCAAAAGCUGGCACAAAAACCCAGGGUGGCGUGCACAUUGUUGAUCUUUUGGAAUAACCAACUGCCAGGGAAAUAUCAACUUACUUCUGCAAUUCAGUGGCAUCCAGGAAAGUGUUCAGAAGCAUCCCAGGAGCAUGAGACAAAAUGUAGAGAGUUUGCAGGUUAAAGGCAAGCAACAAGCAGUGGAUGGGCUUUGAGAUAGUUCCCUCUGGACAUAGCACACAGUAACUAAGAUUCGUGUUUAAAGGGGUAGAUGUUACAAUUUCGAGCAGUGGUUUACACACUAUGGAAAAAAAAUGCUGCAGAGACAUGCUUUACAUGGACUUGGUAUGUGCAGAACAGUGUGCUUUCUGGUAGUUUAAAAUUAUUGGGUUUUGUUCUUCAGUGUGGAUAUCCAACCUACCAGGACAGACUCUGUCUUCGGCACCUGGAUCCCCCUUCAGGAGGACUGAAUUUUGCAAAAGCAAUAGCUGGAACUGGCCUUCAGACCUUCUAGCUUUAGUACUGGAAGGAGAAGAUUGUGACCUCAGGUCAAGUCAAUGGAUGAUAAAUAUAUUGUGUUUAAAAAACUGCUGGAGAAAAUCAAGGAGAGAAGAUAACCGACCCAGUCUCUAAAUCUCUAGAUCUUGUCUCUCUUGAACAGUAGCUCAUUAUACCUACCUGAAAAGUGAGCACCAGAAUUUAUUCUUAUUGAAAUGUGUCCUAAUUUUUAAGCUUUUUUUUCUUGUGAUGGCUGUUUCUGUCUCUUUUUCUGAUUGUACUGCAAAACCUCCAGCUAGCUCCUCACACCUUCACAUCUCCAACUGUUUAAUUAGUAUUCUCCUUUUCCAUCCUUCUGCAGAUAAUAAGCACGGGCUGUGAAGCAUCCCCCUUGAUUAUCAGAGCAGAGUACCAGUUUCCAGCCUGUUUUACACCUCAGCCCAUGAUAUUUCCAUUUAGAAAAUAAUUUUCAAAUCUUCCUUGUGAGAACACUCUAUAAAGCAGUGUUAAAUCCUUGUUAUAGGCACAGACAGGGUAUCCUCUGUUUCUCUCCCAUUCACAGAGCUGCAGAAGGAAAUGUGAAAGGUCUGACGUCAGUUCUUGCACAGUCCACGUUGCCAUCCCUCAGCUUUUCCCUCAGCUGCCUUCAUUCUUCCUCUUGCUCUGGCUCCUGGGCUCUCACCUCUACAGCCCGCCAGCACAGGUCCCUUCAUCCGACAAAGCUCUUUGCUCUUGAUGGGAUGUCCCCAUCAUCCCAUAGAUCCUGAUUUACAGCCUUCACACUUUGAUUUGCAUGUCUUUUUCUGUCCCUUUUUCCAAAUAUUGGAGUGCUUUUCUAUCUGUUGAGACAACUCAUUUAUAAAGGCUCCCAUACUUUGUGUCUAAUUAUAUUCCACCUCUCAGGCUCUUUCCUCAAUUUUCUUCUCAUUGUUGUGCCUAUGUUUUCCCCUCUGCCUCUAGUCCCUCAGACCACCCCUUGGCUUUUUCUCUUCUUUCUCUUCUUCCAAGACCCCCACUGCUAUUUGUAUCAUAUUCUCUUGCCAUUCUUGCUAAUUCAAACCAACAAACAAAAACUGCCUUUCACCUCAUCUGCAUGAGAUUAUCCUCCAAUACUGAAAACUGACGGAUAGAAACCUUUUAAAUAUCUUUGUGGCUUUUGAAAGUGAAAAGGAAAAGAUUAAGCUGCAUUUACUGAUUUAAUUUGAAACUCAUGAGCACUACCAUAAUGCAGGAUUAGGUUCACACAGUUAUUUUUUAAACGGCAUAACAAUAUUCCUAUUUACUUGUCUAACAGGUCACAGCAACACAGUCAUAACUUUUUACAAAUGACAAUGAUCCUGAGGCAGAAGCCUUCAAAAUAAAGCCUUUCUGAGUUUCCA